AUCAGUUAUAAACUCAAACAUAGGUCGUACAGGGCCGUACAAUCUUCCACGUACACGACAUAUGUCUACAAGCCUCUAAGAGUACAUAAGUAUCACAAAGGUUCGAACAGAGUCCCGCCAUACCAAACAACAGACGUCUAAAUCAUACUAACCAAAUACGCAGCUCCGAAGCAAAUGGAGCGCACCAACAUCUUCCGUUGAGCGGAUAGCCUACUUGGAAGGCUCUCGACCUGUCUAUCAAGACCUGCGGGCAUAAAAUGCAGUGUCCCCAGGCAAAAGGGACGUCAGUACGAAUAAUGUACCGAGUAUGUAAGGCACAUAAAUAAAUACAUAUGAGACAUGGAAGACAUAUGGAGUACAUGACUCAACUCGUACGUCUAAAUAACUUUGUAAAUCAUAAAUUACUUUUAGCAUCAUGCAUAUACGUAUGAAUGUCAUGUCGUGCAUAGGUAUAUGUUUCAUAACAUCAUCAGCCUCUGAGGGCAUCCCAUCAUAUCAUAUCGGCCACUGUGGGCAAAAUCAUCAUCGUAUACCAGCUGAUCAGGUGGUGGUGCGUAUAUAACGCCAUAACCUUUCCCAUAUCCCAUAUACAUAUAUAUACAUACAUAUAUAUACGUAUAUAACAGCGUUUGAAUACAUACAUAUGCAUGCGUAUAUAACGCCAUUUGAAUACAUACCCAUAUAUGCGUAUAUAACGUCGUUUGAAUCAUAUUUCAGCCACUGUGGGCAACAUUAUCAUCAUAUACUAGCUGAUCAGGUGGUGGUGCGUAUAUAACGUCAUAACCUUUUCCCAUAUCCCAUAUACAUAUAUUUACAUAUAUAUGCGUAUAUAACUCCAUCUGGUCAAGGGUAAGUGCACAUGAAUGAAGUGCAUAAAAAGUACGUCAAUAAAAUUAUUCGGAAUGUCAUAAGACCAUUUUGCCUCUGAGUAAUAUCAUAAGUAAACUCUUUUUAACUUUUGUAUUUUUCUAAGACCCAUGAAUAGAUGAUAAAAUAUUAUGACACAUGGGAAUAAAGAACAUAGAUAUUUCUAUUACUUCUAUGAGUAGAGUCACUUAUGGAAUUUGUGCAUCUGCACAUUUCGUUCAUAUCGUAUGGAUCAUGCCAAAAGAAAGAAGGGAUAGCCUUAACAUACCUGUGAGCUUAAUUCUACAUGAACUCUCACGUAAAGCUAGAAGACCGAUAGUUGUUCAUGACGUACUAACAAGUUCAGGUGUUCAGGAUGAAUGAACUAUAUCCAAUACUGAAGCUUACGUUUUCCACAACACUUUUCCUUUUACUACUUUUGUCCAUUCAGCGGGCAAGAAUCUUCCUCAACUCUGUCCCAACUGAUUCUCAACUGCUUAAGCUUGACCUUCCAAUCUUGACAAUUGUUUUUCACCAGAUUUCAUGAGUUUAACAGAUUGCAAAUUGCCAGAACAUUUUGUCCGAACAUAUCUAUGAUACGUGCAAGGAAGUGGAAGGUGAAUUCAUUGAGUUAGUUAAGUUGCUUUUCCAUGACAAAUUUCAAUGGGUCUAUUAAAUCUAGUGGUAAUUCCAGAAAGAAAGUCCUCCACUGUUGAUCGUCAUAAAUUCUUGGAAUGGCUUGACGUGAUUAUUAUACUAUUCUAA
rnacentral:lncRNA from 1 species